AAUCCAUGAUAGGGACAUUGCUGCAACAACCCUUUAAACUUAUCCCAUGCUUCGAACAAGAUUGUCUAUCUGUGCAAAACUCAUGAUUUAAUUUCUCAGAUA